rnacentral:lncRNA from 1 species
AUUUUUUAUAAUUUUCAUGAAUUUCGUUAUUUUAAAAAAUAUUUUAUACAAUUUUCGGAAUUAAAUAAAUGAGUGAUCUGACACAUUUUCGGCUCUCUAUCUCUCUCUCACUCUCACUCUCUCUCUCUCUCUUUCCGUGUCGCUCUCUUCUCAGUCUUGUGGGUUUAUCGUCCUCGGUGACUCACCGGUUGGUGGCCAGGAGGAGAAGGGAGGGCCCCCUCCGGUGGCGGCAGGGGAAGAGUCUGUGUAGGUGUUCACGAUGCGCGUGGAACACAGGUGCAAGUGCGGCCAGAGGCAGGAGUUCCUCUAUCGUGUGAAAGAUUAAAC